GAUGAAGAACGUAGCGAAAUGCGAUAAGUAGUGUGAAUUGCAGAAUUCAGUGAAUCAUCGAAUCUUUGAACGCACAUUGCGCCCCUUGGUAUUCCAUGGGGCAUGCCUGUUCGAGCGUCAUUUGUACCUUCAAGCUCUGCUUGGUGUUGGGUGAUUGUCUAUCUUUGUAGACUCGCCUUAAAGUCAUUGGCAGCUGGCAUAUUGGCCUGGGAGCGCAGCACAAGUCGCGCUUCUUGUCAUGAAUGUUGGCGUCCAGUAAGUCUACAUAUUUUGCUCUUGACCUCGGAUCAGGUAGGGAUACCCGCUGAACUUAAGCAUAUCAAUAAGCGGAGGA
rnacentral:misc_RNA from 1 species